AUUGAACGCUGGCGGCAGGCCUAACACAUGCAAGUCGAGCGGAUGAAGGGAGCUUGCUCCUGGAUUCAGCGGCGGACGGGUGAGUAAUGCCUAUGAAUCUGCCUGGUAGUGGGGAUAACGUCCGGAAACGGGCGCUAAUACCGCAUACGUCCUGAGGGAGAAAGUGGGGGAUCUUCGGACCUCACGCUAUCAGAUGAGCCUAGGUCGGAUUAGCUAGUUGGUGGGGUAAAGGCCUACCAAGGCGACGAUCCGUAACUGGUCUGAGAGGAUGAUCAGUCACACUGGAACUGAGACACGGUCCAGACUCCUACGGGAGGCAGCAGUGGGGAAUAUUGGACAAUGGGCGAAAGCCUGAUCCAGCCAUGCCGCGUGUGUGAAGAAGGUCUUCGGAUUGUAAAGCACUUUAAGUUGGGAGGAAGGGCAGUAAGUUAAUACCUUGCUGUUUUGACGUUACCAACAGAAUAAGCACCGGCUAACUUCGUG
rnacentral:rRNA from 1 species